GUAGUACAGAGAGAUGAUGAUGAUCCCCCGAGGGAGGGGAGGGAGGUUGUUGAGGAAGAACCAGUGGCCCAGCUCAAGAAGGAGCCCAAGAAGACAGGAAAGGCGAAGAGGAAAAGUAGUGCCAAGAAGUCAGGGGAGCAGGGCACUGAUACGGAUGCAGGAUUGAGGAAUAAACACCCGGACAGAGGAUCUGUUAUUGAGCUCUUGGAGAAGAAUGCUCUUAAGGCUGCAUUCGGCCCAGGCAACAAAGAUGAGAUGGAGGACUGCUACCCAAUCCUCAUCUCAUUCAUGCGCAAUCUUACUGAUAGUAUGUUAGAACCAUGUUUUGCUCUAGCCUCACAUAUUUUGUGCAGAAGGAAAUAAAAAGUAAGUAAAACACAUUUCUUUUUUCUUUUCUAGGCAAUGGCAAGUGAUCUAUAAAGGAUUUUAAAAAACCUGUACGUUUCUCCAUCAGCCUUUGACCUUUGAUUUGGGAAUGUUGUGUUGAAUCAAGAGAGAGGAAUUAACCAUAGUUCUAUUCUGCUAUUACGUUCAUUAAUCUGUCAUACUUCAUCCAACUUUGAAUUCAGCCACAGAUAAGGAAAACGAUGUUGGUGAAAUGCAUUCUGUUCAAUCUAGAAUACUUUACAUCAGAGUUUCAUUGCCAAACCUGCUGUGUUCUGUUUUGUUUGUGCAAUGCAGAUGACAAAGGAACAGCUUGCAAAAUUGUGCAAGACCAUUGUCAACUUCAUUGCACAGACCACCCUGCAGAUCCUGCUGCCGGCCCUGGCCCGCAUUCUAGGGGUGACGGGCUUUUAUGACAACUCUGACUCACUCAAGAGGGGUGGCAGUGCAAGAUCCUUCACUGCCUUUGAGCAAAAAAUACUGGAGCUCAUCCAGGAAGUUAAAUAUUUGGCGAAGUAACUGUGGCGGCAGGGCUCUCCGACCAAGGUCUAGCACACCCUCUUCCAAGAGUUCCCAGACCUCACUGAAAGUCCACCUGGGAAUGCCAGAGGACAGUAUCAUCAGCAGUGUCCAGGAGCAACUGUCAAAAUCUGACCAAAUGGUGGCUGCAGGACAGCUUUCACAAAUAGAUAAAGUGGUUGGAACUAUGCUGGAGAACAUUGAGAAGAUAAGCAGCGAAUGUGGCGAGGAAUUGGUCUAUCAAGAGUCACUGCGGUCUUCCUCCUCGUUGUCAUUCUCAACUGCCAAAUCACAGAAGACAGAGUGGGAAUUUGCACUCCCUGGCACUCCCAUUCCUUCUGAGUUACCCGAGAGUACUGCUCAGCCCAUUGUAAGAUGUUCAGUCAUUGACAUGAGCGAAUCUACUAAGCCAAAAACAAUGGUGUGUGAUGCCAGAACAAGCAUGUUUGCCAUAGCCGAUACCGUCAUGAAGAAGGUAUAUCCAGAGGCAGAAGGGCAGGUUACAUCUCACCCUGAUCUAACAGAUGCAAUAGCUAGACUGGAUGAGCUCAUAUAUCAGGGUAGGAUUGGUGCCCUCUCCCGUGAUCUCAGUCACCAAGUCACCCGCAUAAUUUCUGAUAGCAACUUGACCCCUCUGGGACUGACAGUGGCGGCUGGAAAGAGUGCAUCUGAUAUCAUCCUUUCGAAGCUGAAGAGGAAUGACAAGGUGGGGAAGCCCACAACUUACGAGCUGGUUCAGCUGUUUGUAGAGGAGUCUGUUAAGUGCCUCCUGCUUCCUAGUUUUGUGCCCUAUUCAACUUCAAUGAGUUUGGCUCAGGGGCCACGGUGUUGGCUACAGUGUCUGAAGAUAGAAUUUCUAGCUCUUCUUCUUCAUCAGUUUUUAGUGACAGUCAGUCUCUUUACCAAAGUUAUGGUAAGCCAGGUCAUGUACUCUGUGGAUUCUGAUGCAGAAAGUAGAGGAUCCUCUCCAACGGAAUCUCUCCAAAUAUCUGAAACCACUAUAUCUGAUGUAGGCAAUCUAUUGAGUGUCAAGUCCUCCCCUCGGCUGUCUCCUUCUGGCGCCAUUAUGGCAACAAGCGAGACCUCCAAUGCAGCACAAAUCUUGAAGGCCAACAUUGAUGGAGAGGAAGUGGAUACCACCAGUCAUUCUGGUGUAGCUCAAAACAUUGUCAGGGACGAUAUGUCAACCAGCCCAGACAUGGUCAAAGAUGUCACACUUUCAACCCCAUCCUCCCAGUUGACGUCACACGCAAGUCACAAGACCUGA
rnacentral:lncRNA from 13 species